rnacentral:rRNA from 1 species
UACGUAGGGUGCAAGCGUUAAUCGGAAUUACUGGGCGUAAAGCGUGCGCAGGCGGUCGCGUAAGCCAGAUGUGAAAUCCCCGGGCUCAACUUGGGAACUGCAUUUGGUACUGCGUGGCUGGAGUGCGGCAGAGGAAGGUGGAAUUCCUGGUGUAGCAGUGAAAUGCGUAGAGAUCAGGAGGAACACCGAUGGCGAAGGCAGCCUUCUGGGCCAGCACUGACGCUCAUGCACGAAAGCGUGGGGAGCAAACAGG